CCCAUAGUACCCGUGGCCACUGGAUAUGGUAUGGGUAAGGGUGUGGGAUAUUUGUCCGACACUCGUACACAAUUUAAACACUCAAAUCCUUUAAUUUGUGAGAAUACAUGAAGAAAAAACUGACAUUUGUUAGUAAGGCAAUAUUUUUAGCCUCUCACAUGAAUUAGAUAUAGAAAUUUCAUAUAUUUUCUGUAUCCUAUUUAAUUUCUACUAUAUUUCUACACAAUUUACAACAUCUCAUCCGAGAGUAUCAUAUAAUAUGCAAUAUAUAUGUGCACAUGACGUGUUCUCGUACCCAUGUCCAAUUUUGGAUAUGUAUCCCAAGAUUUAAAUUUAUGAAGGUCUGACACUUGGAUACACAACCGCACCCGAUACUUGUACCUGAGUCUAUGUAACAGUACGUAUAUGGGGAGCUUGUCUUGGGUUGUUAUUGAGCUUAUUAUAAUACCUAGUUUUUUUUUUUUUUUUUGAUGAUCUAAUACCUAGUUUAAAUUUAAACAUAAAAAAUAAGAAUCUCUUUUGUAGCAAUCAUAUUCCCGGGAAAAAACCAAGAAAAAAAAUAUAAGGUUAAGACUCAAGUAAGAAGUUCAAUAAUUGAAACUAAGAAUGUCAAGUUCAUCUCGAUGAGGGCAAGUUUCCUAUUAUGUAAUGAAAUGUUCAACAACACCUUGAACAGAAAAGUAUUUAUACAUUCAUAUUUAAUUUUAAAUAACUUCUUCUCACUAAAGAUAAAAUUUGAAAUUUGAAGUGCUUGUGUGUUGAUUCUUGGUCAUUUUAAAAACUUAUGCAUUCACAUUUAUAAGCUUUGGUAGAUACAUAUUUAGCCAUGGCCUCUCUAGUGCAAAGCAUGUACACCUCAAUUGUUUGGUGUAUUAGAUUAUGUUCUCCAUGUGAGGCAUGGCCAAUUAAAAGUAUUCAUCAUUCAUUGUUAUCCUAUUUGAGUUCAAACCAACUUUUGGAACUCAAUAUUGUUUUUGAGUUUUUUGUUUUGUUUUAUUGUCUUUAGUGAAUUUUUUUUCUUCAUAUUUUAGUUUUUAAUUUUUUAAUUUUUUUAGAUCUGCCUAAUUUAGAUGCACUUAAAAUUUAAAAUAUUUAUAAAAAAAUCUGAAAAAAGUUGAUUGAAGACAAUUUCAGAUUUUUUUACAAAUAUUUUAUCUUUUAAGUGCAUCUAGAUUAGACGCAUCUAAAAAGUUUAAAAAAAAAAAUACUAGAAUAUGAAAAAAGAUCACCAGAGAGCACCCCUCCGCCCAAAAAAAAUUGAAAAACAAAAAAACUCAAAAGCAAUUCAUAAACUAAACCAAAGAAGGUGAAAGUUUUUCAUUAUGAUUCUUGGUCAUUUUAAAAACUUUGGAGGUUAUCUUUCACAAAAAAUUUUGUACUCUUGUUGGUUGACUCUGUUCCGUGGAUCGAGCUAUAUGUACAGGAAAAUGUGAUUCAUCUCAAAGACUAAAAUACAAAGAAGUGUAGAAAGUACAUAGAAUGAAUUUCUGUGAUCAAGCCAUAUGUACAAAGAAUGUGAUUCCUCUCCAGCUAUACAAAUAAUGCUAUUCUAUAGGUCAAGCUAUUUAGUGUAGGAAACAGAAUGUGAUUCCUCUCACAGAAGCUGUUAUAUAAUAAAAAUUAAACUACGUUCACCAGGUAGCGUAUGUGAGGCAUGUAGUAUUAUAUUGCAAAGUGAAAAUUAUUCAUAAACUCCAAUAGUAAUUGUGUAAGAUCUCAUUGCAGCAGCAUUGUACAUAUGAUUAGAGGUUGUUUGCUUCUGCUUUAUUCAGUUGAAGGAAUGAUCUUUCUAUCUCUCCACUGUUAUUUCUAGAACCAUUUGUAGGUUUUUUAUUUUUUAUUUUUUAUGUAGAAGUAUGUGUGCUUACUAAUUAUGGAUUAUAAUAUUUAAAUUAAUAAUGAUCAUGAUGGACUAUUCUAUGCUGGAACAUUUAACAAAUGAUCUUUUGCAAUUGUAUUAGUCACUCAAUUUCUCUUCUCCAGCAAUAUUGUUUUUCCACACUCAAACGGAGAAUAGCUAUGAAACAUGUGGGCCUAGGAGGGAUAUAACAGAUGUACCACAGUUAAUUACUGUACGUUACAAAAGGAAUGCUACCAAAGAUAGUAUUAAAAUUGAGGGAAAAAAAGCCAAAAAAUAUGUUGGAGGCAUUUCUGAAUGACGAUGUGGAUCCUGCAUCACAACUUGUUGUGAGGUACAAUGGUUCUGAAGAAAGUUUAGAGGUUUGGCCUUUGAUUUGUUGUGAGAUGGAUUUUACUACAUGUUUUAAUUAUUGAGAUAUAUUUCACUUUGUAUUGAGCAGUUAACGUAAAUGCAACAUUCUUUAUGGUUUAGUGCACCUUUUCACGUUGAGUUGUUUCUAUUUUAUUUGGCUGGCAAGUCAUCAAGUGGAUCUCUCAAAUAAUCGAAGAUGGUGACUCUAGGGAGCUCCCCUUUUUUAGAACAAAAACUCCUACAGUUGUUCUUGAAGAUGCAGAUCCUAUUUGGUAAGUAGGUGCCAGACCAUUCUUUCCAAAGGGACAGUAAUGAAACAAAGAAUUGGUAGCACCAUGAAUGGAAUUCACAAUCACCUAGGAGAUCUAAGGAUUGGUCCAGUCUUCCUCUUGGAAGCAUUGAUGUCUUUUGGUAGCAUCUGGCAGCGAAGGAGCCAAUCAACUCACCCAAGUCAAUCAAAUAAUCAAACUCAACUGAGCAAAAAAGAUGAUGAAGAUAGACCAAAUCAGAGACACAAGAUAGACCAAAUCAGAGACACAAGAAGAGACACAAGAAGAGAGCGGUGUCAAACCAAGAUCGUCCUCCUUCCAUCACUGACACAGAACCAAAAGAAGCUUACCAGAUGCCACUAUCAGAUUCUGACUCCAAGUAAUAGAUGGUGUUCAAAGGAAUCGAGGUUUGACAUUAGGUAAAUUAAGCACAUGGGGUUUUCGAAGUAAAGAUCAAAGUUUCAUCUCCAUUGUGAUUAUACUGAUUUGCUCACGGGGUGUUAUAAGUAACUAGCAGAUGGCUGCCCAACAUAUAUACAUUGAUCAUUUAGAAAUUAUACCAUGAAUUUUGGGAACCUGUUUGAAUUGAUAGUUUGUCCGUUUUAGUCUCAAUGUGUGACUGAAUCAUAACUUUUGGGAUAAUUUUCGAUUUACUUACAAUUGUGUUACCCUCAGGAGUUGCUUUACGUUUCUUAUCUGGAAAAAGAAGCACUUAUGUGAUUGUAUCACUAAGUUGUAAAAUUUUAGUGAAAAUUUUCUCAUGAAGAUUGAGAUAUGUAAAAUUUUAGAAGGUUAAUUCCCAUUAAGGAAAAUUUUCAACAAGUUUAGAUUAAUAUAUUGUUCAAAUUUAACGGAGUCUUGACGUUAA